rnacentral:misc_RNA from 1 species
CUUGCCUUGCAGUCCAAGCUCAAGAAGAACUCAGGGAUUCAGGCUGCUGCUAAAUCUCAUGACAUUCCCAUAUAUGUGAUAAAGACAAGCUCAUUGGUGCAGAUAACAAAGGUCAUCAAGGCGUUGGCUAGCGAUUGUGCUAAUGGAUUGAAGGAUUCCAGAUCAGAAGAAAAUGCAAAAUCAUUAGAGAAGACUGAUGCCCUAGAAGAGGC